rnacentral:lncRNA from 13 species
CAUUAUUUAAUGAAUUGAACCUCUGACCUCUGCAUUACUGUUUUGGAAUACCCUUCCUUCUUCAAAUCUUCAAGAAGAGAAAUGAUAACAUAGCCUCCCCGCCAAUCCACCUAUCCACUCUUCUAUGAACCCCCCCAAACAAAUAACAUUUUUUUAUCGUUCUCUAAUUAAAUACAAUAUUUUAUUCAUCUGUUCAAAACCAUUAUUUUCCACCUGGAUUUCUUUUAUUUUGUGUGUGUGUGUGUGUGUGUGUGUAUGUGUGCGUGUGGUUUCUCUGUCUCUCUUUCUUUCUCUCUUUUCUUCUUUUUCUUUUCCUUCUUUACCUUUUCCCUUCUUGUUUUUCUCUCUCUCUUUUUGUGUCAGACUCUGGAAUCCCUUUUUUGGCUUAAAGCGAUGGCCCCCUACCUUUUUGGUACCAGGGACCAGUUUAGUGGAAGAUAAUUUUUCCACAGACAGAGCUUGGGGGGAAUGGUUUUAGGAUGAGUCAAAUGCAUUACAUUUACUUUGCACUGUAUUUCUAUUAUUAUAACAUUGUAAUAUAUAACAAAGUAUUUAUACAACUCACCCUAAUGUAGAAUUGGUGGGAGCCCUGAGCUUGUUUUCUUGCAACUAGGUAGUCUCAUCUUGGGGUGAUGGGAGACAGUGUCAGAUCAUCAGGCAUUAGAUUCUUAUAAGGCGCAUGCAAUCUAUAUCCCUUGCAUGUGCACUUCACAAUAGGGGUUGUGCUCCUAUAAGAAUCUAAUACUGCCUCCGAUCUGACAGGAGGCAGAGCUCAGGCAUUAAUGUGAGGCAUGGGGAGCAGCUGUAGAUACAGGUGAAGCUUCCCCUGCUCACUGCCUCCUCUUCACCUCCUGCUGUGCAGCCUGAUUCCUAAGGGGUCUUGGACUGGUACCAGUCCGAGGCUCAAGUGUUGGGAAAUCCAGGUUUAAAGGAUAUAAAAUCUCUGGGUAGUUUCUCAGCUUUAUACUCUUUUAUUUUAGAAUUGACAGAUGAUCUUAUUAGGGAAAAAAAGAUCUCUUUGUUGUUGUUAGGGGUGGUGGUUUUGGUAGAUGUUGUCCUUAUAAUUUUUACUGUUUUGUUAGCUCUUAGAUGUUUUCAAAGAGGUAAUUAUUACUGUACAUAGAACUUUUCUAGUUAUUCUCAGCGUGAGCAUUGGCCUGAAUUACCUUUUCUGUCUCUGCUGAAAGUAAUCCUUGCAAAAUCACAUUGGUAAUAUUCAACCGUCUCAUUGAAUAUAGGUGGGGCCCAGUAAUUUCACUGUUAUAUAAUUUUCACUGUGUGAUUCUUUCCUCCAAAAAGGGUUUGCUUCAGCUACUUCUAGAAGCCCAAGAAUACUUCCAAACAGGAGAUGUUAAAUGCCACAAAUGAGAGUUCCAUGCUCAGAUUCACCACAUGAGUGUUUAAAGCUUGAAAAUCUUGAGGCAAUGGUCUAUGUCUCUAGGAAAGUUGCCCACUUUGGAUUUCUGCUCUUCCACUGCCUGGAUGCCUGUUUUCAUUCUGGCCCUUGCUGCCACAUCUUCCUGUAGCUCAGGUCUUUUAUUCUAGUUUCUCAGACUCCAAUUUCCAAGUACUUUUGCAUCUUCUUCAGCUUUUUUCUGCCUCUUCAAGUUACUGAAGCCUUGGUCCUUGACCAUGAAGGUAUGACUUCAAAGAAGUAUCACAACAAAUUACAGAUAGAGAGUCCUUGUAAAGAUUCAUCAUGUAUCUCAAUUAUUAUUGCAUUUAUUGUGAAUCUCUCAGUACUGAGAAAAUAGGGUUAAAUGUUUGAGACAAGGUCACACAGCUGAUAUCUGGAGGAAUCAUUUUUCAAACCUGGUUCUUCAGGUGCCUUUACUGUGUUAUUUUCUUUCUACACAUGCCAUUUUUCCAAAACAAUUCUCACGUACUAAGUUCCUCAAAUAUAAUUUAAAAAUAAAGUUGAACUAAACGGUCA